GUCAGACACAACUGAACAAUAAUAUUUAUCCUGUAAAUAGAAGGUUGAGAGUCCUGUCAGAUUGUCAACCAGAGAAGAAAACUGAAUUGGGCUGCUGUCUUCAGGCUUCAAGGGGGCAAAAGUCUUUGGAAGCAGCCUGGCCACCCAGCCCUCUUCACUUAAGAGAGUGAAGGGGCUUGGUUCCAGAGAAGAUCCGGCAAGGAAUGAGAAUGAUAAGGACCAGGGAUAAACAAAGAUCAGGGCUGCCCAGUGUCAGAGAUAGGAAUGAAAAGGAUUUUCUCUGAGGCAGGCAGCCUUUUUCUUUUACUAUGAAAUCAUGUGCCUCUGAUGCUGACCACCUGUGUAACCCUGGGUAAUUCACUUAAUAAAAAUAAUUGUAAUGGUUGA